AGAGUUUGAUCCUGGCUCAGGACGAACGCUGGCGGCACGCCUAACACAUGCAAGUCGAACGGAGAAAAUGAUUUCGGUUAUUUUCUUAGUGGCGGACGGGUGAGUAACACGUGAGGAACCUGCCUCUGAGAGUGGGAUAGCUUCUGGAAACGGAUGGUAAUACCGCAUAACAUAGCGAAACCGCAUGAUUUUGCUAUCAAAGUAUUUCGCUCAGAGAUGGCCUCGCGUCUGAUUAGAUAGUUGGUGAGGUAACGGCUCACCAAGUCGACGAUCAGUAGCCGGACUGAGAGGUUGAACGGCCACAUUGGGACUGAGACACGGCCCAGACUCCUACGGGAGGCAGCAGUGGGGGAUAUUGCACAAUGGGGGAAACCCUGAUGCAGCGAUGCCGCGUGGAGGAAGAAGGUUUUCGGAUUGUAAACUCCUGUCGUAAGGGAAGAGGAAGGACUGUACCUUACAAGAAAGCUCCGGCUAACUACGUGCCAGCAGCCGCGGUAAUACGUAGGGAGCGAGCGUUGUCCGGAAUGACUGGGUGUAAAGGGAGCGUAGGCGGGAUGGCAAGUCAGAUGUGAAACCUGAGGGCUCAACCUUCAGACUGCAUUUGAAACUGCUGUUCUUGAGUGAAGUAGAGGUAAGCGGAAUUCCUGGUGUAGCGGUGAAAUGCGUAGAGAUCAGGAGGAACAUCGGUGGCGAAGGCGGCUUACUGGGCUUUUACUGACGCUGAGGCUCGAAAGCGUGGGGAGCAAACAGGAUUAGAUACCCUGGUAGUCCACGCUGUAAACGAUGAUUACUAGGUGUGGGGGGAUUGACCCCUUCCGUGCCGCAGUUAACACAAUAAGUAAUCCACCUGGGGAGUACGACCGCAAGGUUGAAACUCAAAGGAAUUGACGGGGGCCCGCACAAGCAGUGGAGUAUGUGGUUUAAUUCGAAGCAACGCGAAGAACCUUACCAGGUCUUGACAUCGAGUGACGUAUCCAGAGAUGGAUAUUUCCUUCGGGACACAAAGACAGGUGGUGCAUGGUUGUCGUCAGCUCGUGUCGUGAGAUGUUGGGUUAAGUCCCGCAACGAGCGCAA
rnacentral:rRNA from 1 species